GCCGGGGUGGCUCAGCCUGGCGGAGCGACGGACUCAUAAUCCGUAGGUCGUGGGUUCAAAUCCCAUCCCCGGCA
rnacentral:tRNA from 1 species